CAAAUUAGAACUUGAUAUAAAGUAUUUUAUUUACAAUAAAACGUUAAAUGUGAAAUUCAUUUUAAUUU
rnacentral:tRNA from 1 species